UCAACCUGAGAGUUUGAUUCUGGCUCAGAACGAACGCUGGCGGCAGGCCUAACACAUGCAAGUCGAACGCCCCGCAAGGGGAGUGGCAGACGGGUGAGUAACACGUGGGAACGUGCCCUAAGGUUCGGAAUAUUCCCGGGAAACUGGGAGCAAUACCGAAUGUGUCCGCAAGGAGAAAGAUUUAUCGCCUUAGGAUCGGC
rnacentral:rRNA from 1 species